GGAUAGUUUAGUCGGCAGAGCAUGAGACUCUUAACCUCAGGGUUGUGGGUUCAAGACCCAUGUGGGGCA